GUUCAGCCAAGAUCCUCUGGAGGUGAGGGAUAAAGCAUCUAGGCUGCUCAGCCAUGGCCCAUUGUGCUGGUUUGAGUUUGAAUGGUUUAAUUGACACUUUACCUGCUUUAAAUCACCAGCAAGGUCCAACAGGACAGUCAGGACCAGGAAGCCUUCUCCUUCUUUCAAGGGUGAUCUGGAAUGUGGAUGAAUUUCCAUGAGGAAUGGGAAGAGCCUUGCAGCUGGAUUCCCUCAGAAGACGUCAGGAUUCAAGGAGCAGAGUGAACGUUACCCCAGAGCAGGUCAAUGACAAUGCCACCCUUCUGGGUGACCCUUGGGGAUGGGUGGAGAAUGCCAAGGUUUGACCUUUUCCUCUCUGCUGAUUCUUGCCUUCUCCCUGAAGAUGGAAGAAGUUUCUCUCUGCAGUCUUCAGUGCAUCCUGCAGCAUCUGGGGAGAAGGUCCUGCCUCCGCCCUCAUCUCCAGCUUCCUCGCAAAAUCCCAAACCGUCUUCAGCUGGGAAUUACAUUGUCAUUUUGGAUACCUGGUGGUGAAAAAGCAGAGGAGAAACCUCUGCAGCUGCUGCGGGACAGCUUGGCUGGGAUUUUGGGAGGAUUAUUUUGUUAUGGACUCCAAAAAUAACUCAGACUCAUGUGUUUGCUGAUGCCUGUGUGCUCCCCCAUCAUCCUCGCACAGGUAAGUCCCAAAUGCAGUUUUAAUUUAAAAUUGUCUCAUGUAACAAUAAGAAAGCUUUCA
rnacentral:lncRNA from 1 species